rnacentral:rRNA from 1 species
UCAGUUCGGAUUGUAGUCUGCAACCCGACUACAUGAAGCCGGAAUCGCUAGUAAUCGCGGAUCAGAAUGCCGCGGUGAAUACGUUCCCGGGUCUUGUACACACCGCCCGUCACACCAUGGGAGUCGGAAAUGCCCGAAGUCAGUGACCCAACCAAUAAGGAGGGAGCUGCCGAAGGCAGGUCUGGUGACUGGGGUGAAGUCGUAACAAGGUACC